rnacentral:rRNA from 1 species
AGGACGAACGCUGGCGGCGUGCUUAACACAUGCAAGUCGAACGGUGACCUCGGAGCUUGCUCCGGGCGAUCAGUGGCGAACGGGUGAGUAACACGUGAGCAACCUGCCCCUGGCUCUGGGAUAACCCCGGGAAACCGGAGCUAAUACCGGAUACGAGACCGAUUGGCAUCUUUACGGUCUGGAAAGUUUUUCGGCCAGGGAUGGGCUCGCGGCCUAUCAGCUUGUGGUGGGUAAUGGCCCACCAAGGCGACGACGGGUA